ACAAUCUGUUUAGGUGAAGUGAACAAGCAACCCUCAAUUUUUCUUCCCAAUCACUGACAGAAAGAGGGAAUCGAUGGAAGUAACGUAAUUUGAUUGGUUGUUGAUCUUCAAGCCGAAGUGCAGAUAUGCGGAGAUUUACAAGUCUAAAAAUUCUUGACCCUAGUCAAUGCCAAACGGCCCGAAAUCCAUUGGUACCACCAACCUCACUAAUGAAAAUUUCUACAUGCUCCCCGACUUCUCUUCGCAUCUAAAUCCGCCUCCGCCUCCAGUGAAUAUCGAUGCAGAGCUUUACAAAAACCCUAACAACCAAACCCUAUCAUUUUCGUAAGUUCGAAUCCAAAAACUCUCACCUUUCCAUCGCGAGAACCAAAUCCACUGAAACUCCAAUCAAAGCGAAACUGGAAGAACUGAUUUACCUAGAAGAUGUUUCUCAUCUCCUGCAAAUCAAACAAACAAGCGACCUUAAGAUUCAUAAGAGAAGCCCUAACUUGAACAACUAAAAAGGAAGAAUAGAUGAUACCCUAACUUCUAUAUUCAAUUGGGUUCCUAUUCUUCCUUCACGAAGUCAAUUUUCAUCCGUGUUGUUGAUUCAGGUUACUUCUGGGGUUCCGAAACCAUCCCCGAUCACAACAUUAGAUGCUCAACAGGCUGAAGCUAAAUGCUCUUCUUGCAAGAAUCAUAUGCGCUAGAGAGCUGGUACUAGUCCACAACAUUGGAGAUUGAAGCUGUUAUCCGUCGAUGGUUCUCAGUCUGGUGCCAAGUCGACUACCAAUCUUGUAAUAGUUGAUUGUAAAUUUUAUUCAAGUCUUUUCCAGUUAUAUUCUUAUAAGUUUGUUGACAGGUCUUGUAACCUUAUGGUCCUUGACGAAUGGUCCUCCUCCUGGCACUUUGCUCAUGUUAAAGGAGCAUGAGGCCUGUCAUGUAAAUCUUUACUACACUUUAUUAUUCAAAUAAUAAUAAUAUGUUUCCCUGUAUUAAAAAUCAA